rnacentral:rRNA from 1 species
AUACGGAGGGAGCAAGCGUUAUUCGGAAUCACUGGGCGUAAAGGACGCGUAGGCGGGUUUGUAAGUCAGGUGUGAAAUCCUACAGCUCAACUGUAGAACUGCACUUGAAACUACAGACCUAGAGUAUGGAAGGGGCAGAUGGAAUUAGUGGUGUAGGGGUAAAAUCCGUAGAUAUCACUAGGAAUACCGAAAGCGAAGGCGAUCUGCUGGGACAUUACUGACGCUGAGGCGUGAAAGCGUGGGGAGCAAACAGGAUUAGAAACCCUGUAGUCA